CCCCCCCUGUGGUUUUGUAGUUUCUCACUUUGCCCCCUUUGUGGUUGAAAAUGUAUCAAAUUGCCCCCCUGUGGUUUUGUUUUUAUCUUUUGGAUAGCUUUUUCGUUAAUAUUUUAUUAAAUUAUAUACAAAAAACUUCAGAUACCCAUCUAGAUUUAUCAAAUAUUUAUUUUAGUACCCUUUAAUUUUAACUUUAUCACUGAUUUAAGAAAAAAAAAUAAUAAAAUUGAUAAGAAAAAGAAAAAAACGAAACCACAUGGGACAAAUUGAUACAUUUUUAACCACGGGGUUAAAGUGAGAAACUACGAAAUCACAGGGGGGUUUUUGAAGUUUUUUCUAUUAUUUACUAGAAUUUUAAAAUAGGAGGGACAAGAUUUAUUCAUUUUUUUUGGAUGUACAAGUAAAAAUAAGAAUAAAUUUUAAAUACUGAUAGUAUUUGAAGUUUCUCUAAAAAUAACUAGGAUUAAUUUUAUACAGAUCUCUGCAAACAUAGUGAAUUAUAAAUAUGUCCCUACAAAGUUCAACUUUUAUAUAUCGUCCUUUCAAAAGUGCUAAUAUUUUUAAAUAUGCUCUUCUAAUUUGUUACCGUUAAAGCACUAUCUAUAUUAUAAGUAAAAUAAUUUUUCUACCAUCACAAAAACACCCCUCUAACAGUCACAACUGUUAAUUGAAGAGUGAUAAAAAAAUCAAUUCACCUCAUUAAUUAAUUAAAAUUAAGUAUUUAAUUUAUGAUUAAUUAAAAUUUUCUAAUAAAUUAUAAUGACAUUGAAAACUCUAGGACUUUUACGGAAACAAUAAAUAAAAGUUGAAUUUUGUAGAAAUAUAUUUAUAAGUUACUAUAUUUGUAGGGACCCAUACGUAAUUAAUCCAAAAAGCAAUAGGU
rnacentral:lncRNA from 1 species